rnacentral:snRNA from 1 species
AUACCUUUCUCGGCCUUUUGGCUAAGAUCAAGUGUAGUAUCUGUUCUUAUCAGUUUAAUAUCUGAUAUGUGGGUCAUCGACUCAUAUGAUAUUAACUCAAUUUUUUAAGGGGCAAGGUCCAUCACGAUAGCUUGCUAUUGGGGUCUUCAAGCGUCGCUUUGGUGUUGCACUAUUGCCUUGGCCUGGCGCAUCCCAC